rnacentral:rRNA from 1 species
AACGAACGCUGGCGGCAUGCCUAACACAUGCCAGUCGAACGAGACCUUCGGGUCUAGUGGCGCACGGGUGCGUAACGCGUGGGAACCUGCCCUUAGGUUCGGAAUAACUCCCCGAAAGGGGUGCUAAUACCGGAUAAUGUCUUCGGACCAAAGAUUUAUCGCCUUUGGCUGGGCCCGCGUUGGAUUAGCUAGUUGGUAGGGUAAAAGCCUACCAAGGCGACGAUCCAUAGCUGGUCUGAGAGGAUGAUCAGCCACACUGGGACUGAGACACGGCCCAGACUCCUACGGGAGGCAGCAGUGGGGAAUAUUGGACAAUGGGCGAAAGCCUGAUCCAGCAAUGCCGCGUGAGUGAUGAAGGCCUUAGGGUUGUAAAGCUCUUUUACCCGGGAUGAUAAUGACAGUACCGGGAGAAUAAGCGCCGGCUAACUCCGUG